rnacentral:rRNA from 1 species
CACGUAGUUAGCCGUGACUUUCUGGUUGAUUACCGUCAAAUAAAGGCCAGUUACUACCUCUAUCCUUCUUCACCAACAACAGAGCUUUACGAUCCGAAAACCUUCUUCACUCACGCGACGUUGCUCCAUCAGACUUGCGUCCAUUGUGGAAGAUUCCCUACUGCUGCCUCCCGUAGGAGUUUGGGCCGUGUCUCAGUCCCAAUGUGGCCGGUCAGUCUCUCAACUCGGCUAUGCAUCGUCGCCUUGGUAAGCCGUUACCUUACCAACUAGCUAAUGCACCGCGGGGCCAUCCCUUAGCGACAGCUUACGCCGCCUUUCAAAAGCUGAUCAUGCGAUCUGCUUUAUUAUCCGGUAUUAGCACCUGUUUCCAAAUGGUAUCCCAGACUUAGGGGCAGGUUCCCCACGUGUUACUCACCCAUCCGCCGCUCGCUUUCCCAACGUCAUUACCGAAGUAAAUCUGUUGGUUCCGCUCGCUCGACUUGCAUGUAUUAGGCACGCCGCCAGCGUUCGUCC